AUGGGCCUGCCCAUUAGCGCCUGCAGGAGGAGGAGGCGCGCCAGAUAUAGAUUUUGGUACCUCCUCCCACCUCCCAACGGUUCUCUCCUGGACCGUCGAGCGAUGCCUCCCGUGGAGAUAGCGAUGCCUCAGCGAAGCAACGCACACCCUUCCUCCGCAAACCCUAGCCGCCGCACGAGGGAAGAGAUGAGGGACAACCCGUUGCGUCCAGACGUCUCCGCCGCCGGCCUCUCUACACUCCGCUCCCCAGUCCCCACCUCCUCCGGUCCUCUCGCACGGCCGCUCUUCCGCGACGACACCAACCGUCCAGAAGCGGAGUCGCCGCCUCAACCCGGGGUCCCCCCGUCCCCGUCGUGCUCGGCGCCACGCCCAUCCCGAGGCACCACCCGCUCGUUGUCGGCUCGCCCGAGCCUGCCAAGAAGUCCGCCGUGCCGCGGAGGGGCUCCUGGGGCCGAGAAGCAUAGCGGCGCCGGCGAUGCCGGGGUGCUCGCAUCACCCAAGGUUGACAGGCCCAUCGCGCUCAACUUCGAGGAGAGGAUGCCUGUCAAGAAGCGGCCCUCGCCAGCGCAGAGCUCGGCGUCGAGGAGAGGUCCAUCGCCACUGAUGAAUAUCGCGAGCGAGCGAGCCAGCGGCCCAGCAAGGAGGAGGAUCUACUACCCUACGGAAGGGAAGGAAGAGGCCGCCGGCGAGCGAGGCACGGCCACGGCGUUGGACUCACCGGGGACGGCUGCUCCUCCCGAGGUAACCAACCCCUCCGAUCCUCUUCUUCCCCCAAUUCUAUUUGCAUCUGCGUGCGUACGCAACUUCAGUUCUGUACAUACAUAUUCAGUUCAAACUGAACCCCAACCCCAACCCGUUGGCUGA
rnacentral:rRNA from 1 species